rnacentral:rRNA from 1 species
UACGUAGGGGGCAAGCGUUGUCCGGAAUCAUUUGGGCGUAAAGAGCGUGUAGGCGGUUCGGUAAGUCCGCUGUAAAAGUCCAGGCUCAACCCUGGAAAGCCGGUGGAAACUGUCGAACUAGAGUCCGGAAGAGGCGAGUGGAAUUCCUGGUGUAGCGGUGAAAUGCGCAGAUAUCAGGAGGAACACCAAUGGCGAAGGCAGCUCGUGGGACGG